rnacentral:rRNA from 1 species
GACGAACUGUGCAAACGUUAUUCGGAAUCACUGGGCUUGAAGAGUGCGUAGGCGGUUUCGUAAGUAGGGUGUGAAAGCCCCCAGCUCAACUGGGGAACUGCGUCCUAAACUGCGAGGCUGGAGUGAGGUAGGGGUGUGUGGAACUUCCGGUGGAGCGGUGAAAUGUGUUGAUAUCGGAAGGAACGCCGGUGGCGAAAGCGACACACUGGGCCUUGUCUGACGCUGAGGCACGAAAGCGUGGGGAGCAUACAGG